rnacentral:rRNA from 1 species
GAGUUUGAUCCUGGCUCAGAGCGAACGCUGGCGGCAGGCCUAAUACAUGCAAGUCGAACGGCUCUUCGGAGCAGUGGCGGACGGGUGAGUAACGCGUGGGAACGUGCCCUUUGGUACGGAACAACUGAGGGAAACUUCAGCUAAUACCGUAUACGCCCCUCGGGGGAAAGAUUUAUCGCUAUAGGAUGGGCCCGCGUCUGAUUAGGUAGUUGGUGAGGUAACGGCUCACCAAGCCGACGAUCAGUAGCUGGUCUGAGAGGAUGAUCAGCCACACUGGGACUGAGACACGGCCCAGACUCCUACGGGAGGCAGCAGUGGGGAAUAUUGGACAAUGGGCGAAAGCCUGAUCCAGCCAUGCCGCGUGAGUGAAGAAGGCCUUCGGGUUGU